rnacentral:lncRNA from 1 species
CACUAUCUUUACAUGUAAUUGGAAAAAAUAAAAUACUACUACGUGUAAAAAAAUAAAAAGAAAAAUUAAUGGGCCUCUAAGAGAGUAACACCAUAUUUUUUACCGGUGGAAAAAAAGGAACCUAACUGCUCUCCACAUUGUGCCCAGGCUUCAGAGUCCAAAGAUGUUCCGAAAUGCCCUCCCACCUUCCUCCUCCCCUUCUUCCCAACUCCCUUCUCUGGGCCUGGGAAGGGACCCCAGGACCCUCCCCCACAGGUCCCUGGCAGGGCCUGCUCCCAGGCCAGGGAGUUCCCCAGCUCCCAGGGGUUCAGGACUUCCGGGGCCUUGAGGUGGGGCUCCUCCAAGUCCUUCCCCAUCCCCCCACCUGGACUGCAGAGAAGAAUUUCCAGUCCAGCACAAGACCGGAGAAAGGGCAGCCGUGGGCACGAGCCCCCAGCCAUGUGGCCCCUCAGGUCAGCCCGGGAGGGGAAGGGACCAGCGACUCCUUCCUGAGCCUGCCCCCCCUGCCCAAGGGGCCACAGGUAAGCGUUGUCCUCGGGCUCUGUCGCCUUCCCUCCCACCUCCUGAGCUCCGGGGUGGGGGGGAGGGGGAGAUGCCCCUCAAGGCCUUCUUCAGCUGCACCAGGGACUCUCGACUGGCCAAGUGGGAGAGAGAAUGAACCAGCCGAGCCCCUGCCAAGUGAACUUGACCCUGGGUUCUACUCUGAAGGGCAGAUCUACAGAGAUGGGAGAAGGAGGAGACGUCUUGGCCACGGGAGCUCCCAGUCUAGAGGUGGGGAGGAGGACGGGAGCCAAGAUUCACAGAACAGAGAGGAUCGCAUAGGGCCGGGGGGCAGCAGGGCAGGAGCAGGGGGAGACAUCCCGGUGCUAGGUGAGGGGCAUACCAGGAGGGGGAUACCUGGUGAGCAAAGGUGUGGAGGCAGGAUUGAGCCAAGGUUGGCUCCCGGGAGCUCUGUGUGAAUGUUGAUAAGAAGCCAGGGUGUAGGGCUGGGGAGUGAGGAGUGGAAGAGUUUCCCAUGGCUUUGAAAAUCACCCCAAACUCUAAGUCUUGCCAAAC